GAUGAACGCUGGCGGCGUGCCUAACACAUGCAAGUCGAGCGAUUUACUUCGGUAAAGAGCGGCGGACGGGUGAGUAACGCGUGGGUAAUCUGCCCUGUACACACGGAUAACAUACCGAAAGGUAUGCUAAUACGAGAUAAUAUACUUUUAUCGCAUGGUAGAAGUAUCAAAGCUCCGGCGGUACAGGAUGGACCCGCGUCUGAUUAGCUAGUUGGUAAGGUAACGGCUUACCAAGGCGACGAUCAGUAGCCGACCUGAGAGGGUGAUCGGCCACAUUGGAACUGAGACACGGUCCAAACUCCUACGGGAGGCAGCAGUGGGGAAUUUUACGCAAUGGGCGAAAGCCUGACGUAGCGACACCGCGUGAGCGAAGAAGCCCCUGGGGUGUAAAGCUCUGUCAGCUGGAACGAAAAAAUAGACGGUACCAGCAGAGGAAGCAUCGGCUAACUACGUGCCAGCAGCCGCGGUAU
rnacentral:rRNA from 1 species